CUACAGAUUCUCGUUGACACUGGAAGCAGUAACUUUGCCGUGGCAGGAGCCCCGCACUCCUACAUAGACACGUACUUUGACACAGAGAGGUCUAGCACAUACCGCUCCAAGGGCUUUGACGUCACAGUGAAGUACACACAAGGAAGCUGGACGGGCUUCGUUGGGGAAGACCUCGUCACCAUCCCCAAAGGCUUCAAUAGUUCUUUUCUUGUCAACAUUGCCACUAUUUUUGAAUCAGAGAAUUUCUUUUUGCCUGGGAUUAAAUGGAAUGGAAUACUUGGCCUAGCUUAUGCCACACUUGCCAAGCCAUCAAGUUCUCUGGAGACCUUCUUCGACUCCCUGGUGACACAAGCAAACAUCCCCAACAUUUUCUCCAUGCAGAUGUGUGGAGCCGGAUUGCCCGUUGCUGGAUCUGGGACCAACGGAGGUCCUGGGUGGAAUUGAACCAAGUUUGUAUAAAGGAGACAUCUGGUAUACCCCUAUUAAGGAAGAGUGGUACUACCAGAUAGAAAUUCUGAAAUUGGAAAUUGGAGGCCAAAGCCUUAAUCUGGACUGCAGAGAGUAUAACGCGGACAAGGCCAUCGUGGACAGUGGCACCACGCUGCUGCGCCUGCCCCAGAAGGUGUUUGAUGCAGUAGUGGAAGCUGUGGCCCACGCAUCUCUGAUUCCAGAAUUCUCUGAUGGUUUCUGGACUGGGUCCCAGCUGGCGUGCUGGACGAAUUCGGAAACACCUUGGUCUUACUUCCCUAAAAUCUCCAUCUACCUGAGAGAUGAGAACUCCAGCAGGUCAUUCCGUAUCACAAUCCUGCCUCAGCUUUACAUUCAGCCCAUGAUGGGGGCCGGCCUGAAUUAUGAAUGUUACCGAUUCGGCAUUUCCCCAUCCACAAAUGCGCUGGUGAUCGGUGCCACGGUGAUGGAGGGCUUCUACGUCAUCUUCGACAGAGCCCGGAAGAGAGUGGGCUUCGCAGCGAGCCCCUGUGCAGAAAUUGCAGGU
rnacentral:sRNA from 1 species